AGUCUCUUCAUGAUUAAGUUUAGUUUCAGAUAAAUUUUUAAGCCAGUUUUAAAUUUGGUCCGGUUUCUGUAAAGAAGAGAAAAGUGAAAAGAAGUCGGAGAUUUGUGUUACUACUUAAAAAUUUCUUCUCAUGCUUGUAACACAUUUGUUACUUUGUUGUAAUACUUUUGUGUUAUUUGAAGAUAAUAAAAACCACAUAUAAAAACGAAAAUUUAUUUAAAUCCUAAAAGAAAUAAUUUACUACACUAGAACAAUUUAAUAUAACGAAUAUAUUUUAAUACAGCCUUCGCUAUCGAGAACUGAAUCACAAGCAAAUGUGAAUUUUAUGUCCUUGACUUAACAACAUUAAACAUUAUUUAGUAAAUAAUUUACUUAAUGGAAUAAUUCUCUAAAAUAA
rnacentral:misc_RNA from 1 species